CUAGUUGACCUUUGGAGGUCAGUUGGACUAAGUGUUAUAUUGACAUUGGUAGCUCGAGGAGCUAGUGGAGCAGCAGUUCGGAGUCAGAGGUCAAGUAGCAGUCAAAAGGAUUAGCAGCAUCAGUUCAGCAGUCUCAGGUGAGUUUCCUUCCAGUAGGAACGGGUCUAAGGCCACAAUGCCGGCCCGUUUAGCUAGUAGUAGUUUCCGGAUUUUGAUCUGAUGCAGUAUUUAGUAUGUUUGAUGCCUUCGUGGCUCAGACAGGAAUUAUGUGUUAUGUGUUCCGGGCCACGGCCCGAUGUAGUAUGCAGUAUAUGUGUGUUCAUGCUAGUUGAUAUGUUUAUGUUAUGUUCUGUUCAGUUAGUUCCGGACUUCGGUCCGAUGCAGGGGGCAAGGCCCCAGUUAGUCCGGACUUCGGUCCGAUGCAGGGGACAAGGUCCCAGUUAGUCCGGACUUCGGUCCGAUGCAGGGGACAAGGUCCCAGUUAGUCCGGACUUCGGUCCGAUGCAGGGGGCAAGGCCCCAGUUAGCCCGGACUUCGGUCCGAUGCAGUGGGCAAGGCCCAGUAUGUGCUUUAUAUGUUAUUGUGUGGUAUGUGGUAGAUUGGGGGAGCUCACUAAGCUUCGUGCUUACGGUUUUCAGUUUUGGUUUCAGGUACUCGGUUUUCAAAAGAGGAGCUCGGGAAGAUUGCAGAGCACACACCAUAGUCAGUUAGCCUGGGAAUGUUUGACUCUGAUAAUGAUAUUAUGUUUUGAAUUUAAUACUCAAAAGUUAUGUUUGAUUUAUGAUACGUUGUUUAUAAAUCUAUUUUUAGUAAUGUUUUAAAAGAAAUUUUUAGUCGUGAUUUUUGGGUCGUUACAAGUUGGUAUCAGAGCCUUGGUUUGAGGGAUUCGGGCGCACUCCUGAGUGUGUCUGAACUCAAACUAAGGAAGUGGUAUAUAGUUUUCAAAAGAAAAAUCGUAGUUACAAAAGAAUUUUGAGAAAAGAAAACAAUUUUUAGAAAAAGCAAAAAGAGUUUUGAAAAGAGAAAAGGGUGUGGUGCAUGCAAUCAGCCGAGCUCAAGUAAGUACUCCCAAUUUACCCAUACAAGUUAUAUUAUGAUUAUCAGUAUCGGUUUCAGUUUCAGUUUCAGUUCCAGCUUCAGUAGAACAGCAUGCUAGAAUAGGACUAAGGAUCUAGGAUGAUGCCUUAUGUGCCUGCUUUAUGUGUUCAGCUUUAUGAGAAUUGCAUGCUAGUAUUGAGUAGACAGCAGUAGGAUAGCCUGUUUAGGUUAUGCCUGGUAGCACGAGCUUAGCAUUGUAUGCUAGUGUAGUUUCUCGUUAUGAGAAUAGUUUUGCCUGAGUAUGUCUCCUUUAUCCGAAUGCUGCUUGCUUUGUGCUUUGUGGGACUCCGAGUGGUGGGAUUUAGCCAUUAGGUGAAUACGUCACAUCACAUGUGAGCAGGGUUGAAUAAUCUCAGAGUGCUGGAUUUGGCCCUAUUGCGCAGCUCUUGUUUGAGUCCAACCGUUGUAGGGACGAGUCUUUUACUUGAAGGAUUAUCUGAGCCUCGUCACAUGUGAUGGUAUUUAGGUGGUGGCUAAUUGGCAUUACAAGGAGGCCUUCAGCAGCUGAGGACUGUUUGGGUAGAGUCAGAGGUUCCCUAGGGCCAGCCUAGGAUGAGAGUAGCAGAGAUCAGUAGAAGAGUAAAGGGGACUUGGUGGAGAUGAGGUAACUCUUGAGGAAAGUACGGAUAGAUGUGGAAGGUAGUAUGGGCCCGUACUACUGAAAGAAGAGGAUCCGUACUCGAUUCAAGAGGGGCCAAGACAAAAACCAGGGAACUAGUAGAGUGUGUGAGAGAUUCCACAGCAGUAGUGUGUAAUUGAUCAGGAAUUGUUAUAUUUUCAGUAUGGUGACAUUGCGCGAGCUACCAGUUAGCAGUUCAGGCGUCGAGGAGGGAUCUGGCUCGGGCUUUGGAGCCGGGCAUCUUGAUGAUUAGAUGAGGGAUUUCAUUUCCGCAGAGAUCAUGCGCAACGUCAUUGAUCAGAGUCCAGUGAUUCUCGGUUCGGUUAGAGAGGCCAUUGUGGAGCUCAUAGACAGUCAUCUUGAGGCCUUUAAGGCCGAGAUAGUUUCAGGACAGAUUGGGGCUCGUCUAGAUCCCGAUUCUUAUGGAGUUCGGGGAUCCAUCAUGGAGGGAGAUCCCAUUUCUAGUUUUUGCCAUCAGGGGACAGGAUUGAGUGGGGCAUCCUGUCUCCAAGAGAGACCUCUGCAUGAUUGGAUAGUUGAGGAAGUUUCGCGAGCCAUUCGCGAGAAUCUGGCCGACAUGGUCGUGAGGAUCACUGAUAGAUUGAUCGAGAGGCUCCAGGAUCAGACAUCUGUUAUUCAGUCGGCGGGCAGGGAGUCGGAAAGGAAGAGGAAAACGGAUGAGACUCAGGUAGCCACAGGUUCGGGUAAGAGGCUCAAGGGUUCGGAAUUGAGGAUGAGGAACUAUCAGAGCCGCAGUCGAUGCGUGAAGUGUGGAAGGAUGCACAUGGGUGUGUGCAGGCGUAGAAGUGGUGGCGAUGCUGGAUGUUUCAAGUGCGGCCAGAUUGGUCAUUUUAGCAGAGACUGUGUUGUUACCAUCGCCCAGGGACUUGAUCCGUUAUGUUUCCAUUGCAGUCAGAGGGGCCACAAGAAGGCCUACUGUCCGAGUUUGUAUACAGUAGGGCAGAUGUCAGCUCCUGCCCCUGGGACUUCGAGAGCCACCAACGGACAUCACGGCCGGGCAAGGGCGCCUACGGCUCGGAGCCGAGUUUUCCGGUAGAUUUCAGCAGGGAUUCGAGCAGCACUGAGUGAUGGAGGUAUGUAUCUUUUGCUUUUCUGUCAUCCAUUAUUUGUGAUAUUAUUGUUAUGUUGCGGCAUUGUUAUCAAUAAGCUUAAAUGUUGAGGUAUUGUAUUACCUGCUUGUGGUUGAGUUUUAUGCCAACUGCAUACCUUGGAAUUAGAAUGGUGAAUUGGAGGUCGUCCCCUCUAGAUCAGGUUACUUCGGAUACAGUAACUGUAGCAUGUAUGUGUAAGAUGCAGUAGUGCCCUACUACUUGCGGAAGGUGUUAGUCGGGUAAUGAUCAGUUAUAUUUUCAGUAGUGAAAACCCAGAGUUUUUAGUGGAGUAGCUAGUGUUCAGUAAGGAAGUGGGUUGGGGAUGUGCACCCCAAACACAGAUUCUCGGGAUGUAGUCCCUAAAGCAAAUACAGUUAAGGAUUGAAGGGUGCUCAGUCAGAUAGCAAGAAGGGUGCGGAUCUGGUAAGAGUUAGUUGGAGCGCUGGCAAGGGUAAAUGUCGGCGGACAGCAUAUCGCCCUUUUAAUGGAAGGAAGGUUGGAAAUCCUUUCGACCAGUGAGCAGUAAGGAUCUAGCCGAAUCCAAGUGGAGGAGAACCCUCCGAGUAUAAAAGGAUAAGAGCCACGUAGACUCAGAAUGAGUGCGCGGCCUCUGAGAGGAAAUGAUAGUAGCACAGUGAUCGAUGGAUCGAGAAGUUCAGAAUUGGGAGUUCGAGGACCUUCCCAGCAGUUAGUUCAUGUAAUCGAGAUGGUUAGAAGCUGGUUGAGAAUCCAGGAUUGGAGGACCACCUGUACGGGCUCAAGUGAAUCGGAAUGAGGAUCCUGAGAACGGUUAGCAAGAGAUGUUUUCGUAUUAGUAGCCAGUGACAGAGUCAGCAUGCAGGAUUGUGUAGAUUCAGGAGUUGGGAGUUUGGAAACUUCCCAACAAUAGCUUCUUGUAUCCGGAUUAGUAGACGGUUGGUUUGGGAACCAAGCCGAAGAGUUCCUCGACGAAGCGCUAAGUAUAUUAAGGAUAUAAGAUGUCGAGGAUGAUGCAGUAUUCAAAGACUGAGGGCUGGUUUUGAGAAAUCAGGAUGAGGAAUCACUAGCGGGACUAGGGAUAGUCAGGAUGUCCUCGGGAUAGUAGUAGUAGUGUUGUAAGUCUGCGGGGGUAGCCGUAGCAUUCACUAGCAGUCAGAUAGUAGUAGUAGUGUUGUAAGUCUGCGGGGGUAGCCGUAGCAUUCACUAGCAGUCAGAUAGUAGUAGUAGUGUUGUAAGUCUGCGGGGGUAGCCGUAGCAUUCACUAGCAGUCAGAUAGUAGUAGUAGUGUUGUAAGUCUGCGGGGGUAGCCGUAGCAUUCACUAGCAGUCAGAUAGUAGUGGUGGUGUUGUAAGUCUGCGGGGGUAGCCGUAGCAUUCACUAGCAGCCAGAUAGUAUUAGAGAGUUGUAAGUCCGCGAGCGUAGCUGCAGCCUUUAUCAGGUUGAUAGGCAGCAUGAGCACGUUGUUGGACACAGGGGAAGCAGUAGUACCCACCAGUUCGGGUGCAGUAGUGAGGAUAUGGGAAUCCACGAGUUAGAUUCUGGAUUUCCCAAAUGGUUCAGUUAUGGUUAAGUCGGCGAUUUGUCAGUAGAUUGUCGCCUCAGUUAUGAGAUCAGAGUAGUAGUGGACCGUUGGGGUUCGGGUAUGUUAAGAGCUACCGUCUGUCUGGGAGCCAUCAUAUUGUUAGUCGUGGAAUUGAUGAUGUCAGGAUGUGACGUAAGGACCUGAUCGGUGGAUCGGGAGGUUGUUAAAGUUACAAUGUCAGGAUGACUGGUGGAAGCUAGUUCCAGAGGAAGAUUUCGUUUAGAAGUUGUGGGAAGCAGCCAUUCAGUCAGUUCAGUGUUUCAGUCAGUUCAGUGUGUUUCAUCCAGUUCAAUGUUUCGGGUAGUUUAGUGUUCCAAGCAGUUCAGUAAUGCAGGCAGCUCAGCAUUUUAGAUAGUUCCAAUACGAGUAGCAGAGUGGAUAGAACAAUUAUAAAUAGUCGAAGAAUCUUGCGGAGUCGCUGGGAGCGACUAGAAGAUUACGAUGGAGUGUAGUGACCGGUAGGAGUCCGGUAACUCAGAUAUUGACAUAAUAGUUGGACCAGGGAGGUCUCAGUGCAUCCGGUAGGCGGAUGAGGGGUAACAAAAUUCUCAGUCGGAGGAAGUAACGUUAAGAAAAUUAUGGAAAAGAGAAGGAUUCAGUAUGUACCAACAGUAGUGACCAGCACUGUAAGUGGCUGGAGUGAUGGACAAAAGGGGGUGUUAGAUUUCCCAGGCAGAGAGUUGGAGGCAGUUCGCAGGACAGUUGGUCAUAGCAAACUUCGAGGACGAAGUUUAGUUUAAGUGGGGGAGAGUUGUAACACCCCAAAGUUUGGAGAGCCAGGAAAAGAUAGAAAACCCCAAUUUUUAGGGGAGACUCGGCGAGUCCAUUGAAGGACUCAGCGAGUCCGAGCGGGAUCCGGGUUGAGGUAUAAGCGACCGACUCGGCGAGUCGGCCAAGGUGACUCGGCGAGUCUGGUCUGAGCAAGGAAAACCCUAAAUCCGGGACUUGGAGCUUAUUUAAACGUCUCAUUCUCUCCCCUAGGGUUCCUUUACUGCCUCUCUAGCACAUAUCACUAAACCCUAGCCGCCAUAAUCGUUUUGGAGCAAGAUCUACCCUUAGUGAAGCUUUUGGAGCUUGAGAGAGAAGUUAGUCUUUGUGGAGCAAGAAGGGGGCCUUGGAUCCAGAGUUGGUGGAACAUUUCUGAGCAUUUAAAGGUAAUAAAUCGUUACCUUCCCUCUUUUGUUUAAUAGAUCAACCUUGGCUAUGUGAUUUGGGGAUUUUAUGCCAUGCUUAAGAACUAUUUCGAGUUAGAAGCCUAGAUCUGAAGUUGCUACUUCAGAUCUGAGUGUAUCUUGGCCUAGAAAGUCAUAAAGCAUCUGUUCUUGGGUUGAUAGUGAAGCCUCUUUGUCUUAAACCCUAGUUUGGAUUGUUUUAAGCCUAGAUCUCUUGAUCUACACGUAAAGUUUGCCACUUUACGUGGGGGAUAGUCCUUAGAAGUAUGGAUCUAUGAGUUGGAAGCCCUAUUUGGCUCGAAAAGCCAAUGCAUGGAUUAAGGACUGACUAGACUCGGCGAGUCCUUCAAGUGGACUCGGCGAGUAUCUUGAAGAUGAGGAGCAACUCGACGAGUGGGAUGAACAGCUCGUCGAGUCGGAUGAAGUUAGGCAUGAAAUCGGCGAGUUGGAAGAACAACUCGACGAGUUGGUUGAUGAUUGCGUUGGGCUCGGGGAGUCUAUUCUUGGACUCGGCGAGUCAGGUCGCGAAACCCCCAAACCCUUCGAGUUGAAACUCGAAUCAGUGAGUCGGAUGGAGACUCAGCGAGUUGGACAGGUCAGGACUCGGGAAUAGUUGCCCCGGCGAGUCAUGGACUGACUCGGCGAGUCGAGUCGCGAAUAGAAAGACCCUGAGCAUAUGAAAUCGACGAGUUAUUAGGUGGAUUCGGCGAGUAGGGUUGACCUGAAAGGUUGACUUUGACCAGGAGUUUGACCUUGACUAGAGUUGACCUAGUUGACCUUUGGAGGUCAGUUGGACUAACUGUUAUAUUGACAUUGGUAGCUCGAGGAGCUAGUAGAGCAGCAGUUCGGAGUCAGAGGUCGGGUAGCAAUCAUGAGGAUUAGCGACAUCAGUUCAACAGUCUUAGGUGAGUUUCCUUCCAGUAGGAACGGGUCUAAGGCCACAACGCCGACCCGUUUAGCUAGUAGCAGUUUCCGGAUUUUGAUCUGAUGCAAUAUUUAGUAUGUUUGAUGCCUUCGUGGCUCAGACAGGAAUUAUGUGUUAUGUGUUCCGGGCCACGACCCGAUGUAGUAUGCAGUAUAUGUGUGUUCAUGCUAGUUGAUAUGUUUAUGCUAUGUUCUGUUCAGUUAGCCCGGACUUCGGUCCGAUGCAGGGGACAAGGUCCCAGUUAGUCCGGACUUCGGUCCGAUGCAGGGGGCAAGGCCCCAGUUAGUCCGGACUUCGGUCCGAUGCAGGGGACAAGGUCCCAGUUAGUCCGGACUUCGGUCCGAUGUAGGGGGCAAGGCCCCAGUUAGUCCGGACUUCGGUCCGAUGCAGGGGACAAGCUCCCAGUUAGUCCGGACUUUGGUCCGAUGCAGUGGGCAAGGCCCAGU
rnacentral:lncRNA from 1 species